CAGUUGGUGGUGCAGUGGUUAACACUGUUCCCUUGCAAUCAGGAGGUUCUGGGUUCGAGCCUCAGGCGGUCAG